GAUGAACGCUGGCGGCGUGCCUAAUACAUGCAAGUCGAGCGAACGGACGAGAAGCUUUCUUCUCUGAUGUUAGCGGCGGACGGGUGAGUAACACGUGGAUAACCUACCUAUAAGACUGGGAUAACUUCGGGAAACCGGAGCUAAAACCGGAUAAUAUUUUGAACCGCAUGGUUCAAAAGUAAAAGACGGUCUUGCUGUCACUUAUAGAUGGAUCCGCGCUGCAUUAGCUAGUUGGUAAGGUAACGGCUUACCAAGGCAACGAUGCAUAGCCGACCUGAUAGGGUGCACGGCCCCACUGGAACUGAGACACGGUCCAGACUCCUACGGGAGGCAGCAGAAGGGAAUCUUCCGCAACGGGCGAACGCCUGACGGAGCAACGCAGCGUGAGUGAUGAAGGUCUUCGGAUCGUAAAACUCUGUUAUUAGGGAAGAACAUAUGUGUAAGUAACUGUGCACAUCUUGACGGUACCUAAUCAGAAAGCCACGGCUAACUACGUG
rnacentral:rRNA from 1 species